UACUAAACGUGCUCUCAUUCCUAGGCCAUCUCAAUUUCACCAUGCGUAUCAUACCACAAGGGCGCUCGUUUAUCUCUCGCCUCCUAGAUCUGGCACAUUCAGUCCCAAAACUGAAUGACUUAAUGCACCUCAACGAAGGCUGCAGGUCCGAUCUCAAAUUCUGGUCGUUCCUCAUCGCUAACUGGAAUGGCAUUUCCUUCUUCUACAACGACAUGCCCGAAUCAUCUGAUUCUCUCGAACUAUUCACCGAUGCGGCCCCCUCGGUCGGGUUCGGGGGUUUCUUCCAAGGGCAAUGGUUCGCUGAGAGAUGGCCAGUCGAAUUCCGCACAUUCGCCCUCGGGUCAGAGUCGUCUGCGCUGUUUGAGCUUUACCCUAUCGUGGCAGCUAGCGUUCUGUGGGGCCAAGCAUGGCGGCGUAAAAAUUUUAACCAUGUUUUGCGAUAGCGAAGCUGUGGUGGCUAUCAUCAAUAAAAAGCGAUCUGCAUGCCCGAAUAUCAUGUCUAUGCUCAGACGUCUCACCUGACAGUCCGUCACUCUCAAUUUCAUUAUUAAUGCUGAGCAUAUACCCAUAAUGGUCACCAUAAUGGUCUUGCUGAUUCUCUCUCUCAUUUCCGUUUUCAGGAAUUCAGACGUCUAUGCCCCGCUGCGAAACGGACCCAAUAAUCAGCCCACCCUUCCACGAACUCCGGCUGGAUUAGGCAACGGGUUAAAUUCGCUGCUAGACUCCGUAAACCUGCAGCAACCCCGGCGAGUGUGACCACGUCGGUUGAUCAUCUAGAAAACACUCUUGAGUUUGUUGUCAAGUCGGUGGCACAACAUCAAAAAACUCAAGGUUCGCAGCGGCAACCCCGGUGAGUGCGUUGACCACAGCGCAGUGGUAACAACUCGGGCACUCGUGAGUAUGACCACGUCGGUGGCACGUUAUCUAAUACUCAUGGUUUGACUGCAGUAACCCCGGUGAGUGCGUUGACCACGUCGGUGGGCACAACUCAGGCACUCGUGAGUUCGUUGCACACGUCGGUGUGGUACAACACAGAACUCAACACAGACCUUUUCUGCAAUCAUGCUCACCUGGUCUUCAUCUCCAAUCAACUCCCCUUCAUAAACCCUUGGAUUCCCUGCUGUCGGUGCCAGAUCGUACUACGCAAUACUGUGUUAUCCGGAUCCUUCGCUCCAGCUCGCCUGCCUCGCUCCUUCCCCGGCUACCUCAUCCACUACCUGCCUCCUCGCCUCGUACAAUAAACCCUUUUUUCAUCAAUUCAACUUCGUCUCCGUCUGCUCUUGGGUUCAGCAUCGUUUAACCAUAACACAUGUGAAUUUAAUUACCACGCCGGUGGCAUAAUAUCAAACGCUCAAGUGCAGGGCACUCGGAGUUCAGUGACCACG
ensembl:lncRNA